rnacentral:rRNA from 2 species
UGACCUCAAAUCAGGUAGGACUACCCGCUGAACUUAAGCAUAUCAAUAAGCGGAGGAAAAGAAACUAACAAGGAUUCCCCUAGUAACUGCGAGUGAAGCGGGAAAAGCUCAAAUUUAAAAUCUGGCAGUCUUUGGCUGUCCGAGUUGUAAUCUAGAGAAGCAUUAUCCGCGCUGGACCGUGUACAAGUCUCCUGGAAUGGAGCGUCAUAGAGGGUGAGAAUCCCGUCUUUGACACGGACUGCCAGGGCUUUGUGAUGUGCUCUCAAAGAGUCGAGUUGUUUGGGAAUGCAGCUCAAAAUGGGUGGUAAAUUCCAUCUAAAGCUAAAUAUUGGCGAGAGACCGAUAGCGAACAAGUACCGUGAGGGAAAGAUGAAAAGAACUUUGGAAAGAGAGUUAAACAGUACGUGAAAUUGCUGAAAGGGAAACGCUUGAAGUCAGUCGCGUUGUCCGGAUCAAUCUUGCUUUUGCUUGGUGUACUUUCUGGUUAACGGGUCAGCAUCAAUUUUGACUAUCGGAAAAAGAUCAAGGGAAUGUGGCAUCUUCGGAUGUGUUAUAGCCCUUGGUUGCAUACAAUAGUUAGGAUUGAGGAACUCAGCACGCCGCAAGGCCGAGUUUUUAACUACGUACGUGCUUAGGAU